UUAAAAUACAAGUUCCAAAAAUGGAAAGAUUAAGCUUGAUUAUUUAAACAACGAGACUAUUCGAACUUUGUUUUUCUUUUUUGCGACUUUUUUUUAUUUACCUAUCAUUAUUUUUGUUUGACAGUUGAAAGUAAAUCUCAUUCUAUAUUAUUUCUUGCGAAAGAUAUCACUCAUGACAAAGUACUUUCGGACUCGGCAGAAAAUUUUCUUUUUAAACAUUUUUUAAUUUUUUAGUGGUAAUGCUAUUCAGCACAGUGUUUUUCUACACUAUUUAUAUCGAAAAAGGAAUGGUUGAGUGUUUAAGUCAUUUCGCGAGCUCUUCGUGGCACAAUUUAAUAUAUUUACUUUUGAUCAAUCAAAAUAUUUAACAGACAGAUACGAAUUCGGUGCAUGGCUCAGGUCUUCCAAACCUUUGAAAAUAAAAGUACUUUGGAUUUUAAUGAAACUCUAACCAUCGAUUUUUUUCACCAACAGGUACUUAGAAAAAUUCAACGAGUGCCUAUAAUAUCUCCGGCAAUAAAAAAGAUAUCGGAAAGAUUUAACUGGUCUUGAAAAAAAAGAAAACAGUUCUAAUGGAAAGCAUUACUAAAUACGUUUAAACAAUAUUCCUUAUACAAAAGAAUAACGUCCGAAGGAGUGCAGUUUCUAACGGUAAUAUUUCAAAAACGGUAGCUGAUUAAUUUUCAGAACAUCGAAAACCUUCAGAAAAGUAUAAUUUUGUUCCAACAACAAAAACAAAGUUUAAUUUUGUUAACCAGUGUAAUUAAUGAAACUCAUACAUACAUGUAUUCAUAUGGCCAUGUUAACAAGAAUUGACGUAUCGUUAUUUAAAAAAAAAUGAAUAUUCUAUGAAACUGAAAGAGUUUUGAGCGCCACAAUAUUUCUAAGAGCUAAUAUCGACUCGAAUCACUACGAUUGACUUUGUGAUAAUCACCUAUAUCUAAUUUAUCUCUGAGUCUGACAGUAUUAAAUGAAAGAAAAAAAAAAAA